AUCCACAAGCAGAUGAAACUGCACAGCAUGAUCUGAUCAUUAGUCAUGACAAGAGAAUUAAACAUUGCUAUCAGACGAGGAACUCUCGUCAGAUCAUGCUGGCAGCUUCAGCUCCUAGAAGA
rnacentral:pre_miRNA from 1 species